GCCUAGUGCAGUGGCACGUGCCUGUAGUCCCAGCUAUUCGGGAGGCUGAGGCUGGAGGAUCUCUUGAGCCCAGGAGUUCUGGGCUGCAGUGCGCUAUGCCAAUCGGGUGUCCGCACUAAGUUCGGCAUCAAUAUGGUGAUCACCCGGGAGCGGGGAACCACCAGGUUGCCUAAGGAGGGGUGAACCGGCCGAGGUCGGAAACGGAGCAGGUCAAAACUCCCGUGCUGAUCAGUAGUGGGAUCGUGCCUGUGAUUAGCCACGGCACUGCAGCCUGGGCAACAUAGCAAGACCCUGUUUCU
rnacentral:SRP_RNA from 1 species